rnacentral:rRNA from 1 species
UACGAAGGGGGCUAGCGUUGUUCGGAAUCACUGGGCGUAAAGCGCACGCAGGCGGAUCGAUAAGUCGGGGGUGAAAGCCCGGGGCUCAACCUCGGGAUUGCCUUCGAUACUGUCGGUCUCGAGUCCGGGAGAGGUGAGUGGAAUUCCUAGUGUAGAGGUGAAAUUCGUAGAUAUUAGGAAGAACACCAGUGGCGAAGGCGGCUCACUGGCCCGGUACUGACGCUCAGGUGCGAACGCUUGGGAAGCCAACAGG